AACACUGUUAACCUGCGGUACCUGCGGAAGGAUCAUUACCGAAGUUACUCUUCAUACCCUUAUGUGAACCCUACCCCUCGCCGCGCGGUUGCCUCGGCGGGAGGUCGCGGGCUGGGGCUCCGGCCCCUGCCCCCGCGGCCCCCGCCGGCCGCGCCCAACUCUUCUUCUGCAAAGCGGACUGCAAGUUCUGAUUAUAUCUUGAAAAACAAGUCAAAACUUUCAGCAACGGAUCUCAGAUCG
rnacentral:misc_RNA from 1 species